AUUGAACGCUGGCGGCAUGCUUUACACAUGCAAGUCGAACGGCCGCGCGGGCUUCGGCCUUGCGUCGAGUUGCGGACGGGCGAGUAAUGAACCGGUACAUGACCAGCCGUUGGGACUAGGCCGACGACGGCAGGCUUAAUACCACAUCCGACCAUAGGGUGAACGGGGGGGAUCAAAAGUGCUAGCGGGUUUUGCUCGGACGAUGUGGUAUUUGCUAGUUGGUGGGGUAAAGGCUUACCAAGGCGACGAUCCGUAGCUGGUCUGAGAGGACGACCAGCCACACUGGGACUGAGACACGGCCCAGACUCCUACGGGAGGCAGCAGUGGGGAAUUUUGGACAAUGGGGGCAACCCUGAUCCAGCCACGCCGCGUGCGUGAAGAAGGUCUUCGGGUUGUAAAACGCUUUUGUUCGGGAAGAAAUCCUCUGGGCUAAUACCCCGGGGUGAUGACGGUACCGGAAGAAUAAGCACCGGCUAACUACGUG
rnacentral:rRNA from 1 species